CAAACAUGCCGAGGGAAGCCAGCCUACCCGUGCAAUGCAAUGACCCACCCACCACAAAGAGGCGACGAUCAACACGCAUCCGACGUCCUGCUGUAUCUACAAAGACUCCGUACACCAAGGGGAGGGCGAAGAGAGUGAAGAAAUGAGGUAUUUUUGGCGUAAUUUGACAUUAUUUCAAGUUUGUGUGGAGUUCGUCUUUGUGUAGUCGUACGUUUACGUUAAUCUAAAGGAGCAUGUCGAAUAUUAUACGAAUAUUCUCCGAACUGUUCAUAUCACAUGCAAUUGAAACAUAAUAUUGUCGGAUUUUGUCACGUUCAGUCGAAUAUCUGUAAAGGAGCAUUUCGAAGCGGUUUGGGUCCAUUUUUGCAAUUAAAUAGGUUGGGUUCGGUUAUAUUUAUCCCAUUUUCUGUCCGGUUAGGUUGGGUUAUAGGUUAUCCCUUUAACCCAACCCGAAGCCGACCAACCCAACCCGUAUACAAAAGUUAAUUUUAAAAAUGUGUAGAAAUUAUAAAACGAGUAUAAGGUCCCUCCAUUUUCCCUGACCCUUCCCAUUCCUGUUUUCCAUUUCCCCCUCAGAGAAAACCUAGUCUCCUCCAAUCCAUCACAAAGCCAAUAGUCGCCCUUUAUAUUGUUGAUUCUAACCCUGAGUAUUUAUCACUCUUUCGGUGUUUUGAUAUUUGAUAUUGUGG
rnacentral:lncRNA from 1 species